UACGGAGGGUGCGAGCGUUGUCCGGAAUCACUGGGCGUAAAGGCGCGUAGGCGGCCUGAUAAGUAGGGGUGAAAUCCUGCGGCUUAACCGCAGGGCUGCCUUCUAAACUGUCAGGCUUGAGCACAGUAGAGGCAGGUGGAAUUCCCGGUGUAGCGGUGGAAUGCGUAGAGAUCGGGAAGAACAUCAGUGGCGAAGGCGGCCUGCUGGGCUGUUGCUGACGCUGAGGCGCGACAGCGUGGGGAGCAAACAGG
rnacentral:rRNA from 1 species